rnacentral:rRNA from 1 species
UACGAAGGGGGCUAGCGUUGCUCGGAAUCACUGGGCGUAAAGGGUGCGUAGGCGGGUCUUUAAGUCAGGGGUGAAAUCCUGGAGCUCAACUCCGGAACUGCCUUUGAUACUGAAGAUCUUGAGUUCGGGAGAGGUGAGUGGAACUGCGAGUGUAGAGGUGAAAUUCGUAGAUAUUCGCAAGAACACCAGUGGCGAAGGCGGCUCACUGGCCCGAUACUGACGCUGAUGCACGAAAGCGUGGGGAGCAAACAGG